rnacentral:rRNA from 1 species
AUUGAACGCUGGCGGCAGGCCUAACACAUGCAAGUCGAGCGGCAGCGACUUAACUGAACCUUCGGGGAACGUUAAGGGCGGCGAGCGGCGGACGGGUGAGUAAUGCCUGGAAAUAUGCCUCAGUGUGGGGGAUAACUAUUGGAAACGAUAGCUAAUACCGCAUAAUCUCCGAUCUUUUACGAGAUGGGAGCAAAGCGGGGGACCUUCGGGCCUCGCGCGCUGAGAUUAGCCCAGGUGGGAUUAGCUUGUUGGUGAGGUAAUGGCUCACCAAGGCAACGAUCCCUAGCUGGUCUGAGAGGAUGAUCAGCCACACUGGAACUGAGACACGGUCCAGACUCCUACGGGAGGCAGCAGUGGGGAAUAUUGCACAAUGGGGGAAACCCUGAUGCAGCCAUGCCACGUGUGUGAAGAAGGCCUUCGGGUUGUAAAGCACUUUCAGUAGGGAGGAAGGUAGUGUAGUUAACACCUGCAUUAUUUGACGUUACCUACAGAAGAAGCACCGGCUAACUCCGUGCCAGCAGCCGCGGUAAUACGGAGGGUGCGAGCGUUAAUCGGAAUUACUGGGCGUAAAGCGCAUGCAGGCGGCCUGUUAAGUCAGAUGUGAAAGCCCGGGGCUUAACCUCGGAAUUGCAUUUGAAACUGGCAGGCUAGAGUCUUGUAGAGGGGGGUAGAAUUUCAGGUGUAGCGGUGAAAUGCGUAGAGAUCUGAAGGAAUACCAGUGGCGAAGGCGGCCCCCUGGACAAAGACUGACGCUCAGAUGCGAAAGCGUGGGGAGCAAACAGG